GUGGGGAAUCUUAGACAAUGGGGGAAACCCUGAUCUAGCCAUGCCGCGUGAGCGAUGAAGGCCUUAGGGUUGUAAAGCUCUUUCAGCUGGGAAGAUAAUGACGGUACCAGCAGAAGAAGCCCCGGCUAACUCCGUGCCAGCAGCCGCGGUAAUACGGAGGGGGCUAGCGUUGUUCGGAAUUACUGGGCGUAAAGCGCGCGUAGGCGGAUUGGAAAGUUGGGGGUGAAAUCCCGGGGCUCAACCUCGGAACUGCCUUCAAAACUCCCAGUCUUGAGUUCGAGAGAGGUGAGUGGAAUUCCGAGUGUAGAGGUGAAAUUCGUAGAUAUUCGGAGGAACACCAGUGGCGAAGGCGGCUCACUGGCUCGAUACUGACGCUGAGGUGCGAAAGCGUGGGGAGCAAACAGGAUUAGAAACCCGAGUAGUCC
rnacentral:rRNA from 1 species